UACGUAGGGUGCAAGCGUUGUCCGGAAUUAUUGGGCGUAAAGAGCUCGUAGGCGGUCUGUCGCGUCGGCUGUGAAAACCCGAGGCUCAACCUCGGGCCUGCAGUCGAUACGGGCAAACUAGAGUACUGCAGGGGAGACUGGAAUUCCUGGUGUAGCGGUGAAAUGCGCAGAUAUCAGGAGGAACACCGGUGGCGAAGGCGGUUCUCUGGGCCUGUACUGACGCUGAGGAGCGAAAGCGUGGGGAGCAAACAGG
rnacentral:rRNA from 1 species